rnacentral:misc_RNA from 1 species
GAGGUGAUAUAUGAAAAAUGAAAGAAAUUAGGCUAAAUUACAUUAAGGGUUGCAUAUUAAGUGUGUUUGGGCUCUUUAUGUUGAGUUAUGUAAGACCAAGAGUUAGAGAAUUAAUUAGAGGGUUUAAUUGCUUUAUUGAAAGUCCAAAAUAAAUAAAAUAAAGUUGUGUAGGUUCCCAAGGUCAUGCAAGUGGUAGAUCUAUACAAGGAAAGUUAUUUUUAAAUUGUUUUCCUACUUUAACUAGGUUCUUGAGAGAGUUUUAAGUUAGAAUGCAACAAGGACUUUCAAAUCAGAUAUGGAGUCUUUGUUAACUAUUUUCCUCUAUAAAAAUGGUCCAAAAUAAAUAUUUGAUGCUUUUCAAUUCUCUUAUACUCAGAGUGGCAAACUAUCCUCUUUAUGCAUUCCAAAGUGUCAAUUGCUUGAUCUAGUUACUGGUGUGAUUUAUUCUUCUUCUUCUUUGGCCUGUGGAGCACUUCUACAUCCCUUUGGAGUG